rnacentral:rRNA from 1 species
CCCUUAGAUGUUCUGGGCCGCACGCGCGCUACACUGAUGCAUUCAACGAGUUUCUUCCUGGUCCGAGAGGAAUGGGUAACCUUUUGAAAGUGCAUCGUGAUAGGGAUAGACUAUUGCAAUUAUUGGUCUUCAACGAGGAAUUCCUAGUAGACGUAGUUCAUCAGACUGCAUCGAUUACGUCCCUGCCCUUUGUACACACCGCCCGUCGCUCCUACCGAUUGAAUGCUCAGGUGAGCCAUUCGGACUUUCAUCAUGCUGGUUUCCAGUUUUGAUGAAGGAAAGUCUUGCGAACCUUAUCAUUUAGAGGAAGGAGAAGUCAUAACA